GGGGAAUUUUGGACAAUGGGCGAAAGCCUGAUCCAGCCAUUCCGCGUGCAGGAUGAAGGCCCUCGGGUUGUAAACUGCUUUUGUACGGAACGAGAAAGCUCCGGCUAAUACCUGGAGUCCAUGACGGUACCGUAAGAAUAAGCACCGGCUAACUACGUGCCAGCAGCCGCGGUAAUACGUAGGGUGCAAGCGUUAAUCGGAAUUACUGGGCGUAAAGCGUGCGCAGGCGGUUUUGUAAGACAGAGGUGAAAUCCCCGGGCUCAACCUGGGAACUGCCUUUGUGACUGCAAAGCUGGAGUGCGGCAGAGGGGGAUGGAAUUCCGCGUGUAGCAGUGAAAUGCGUAGAUAUGCGGAGGAACACCGAUGGCGAAGGCAAUCCCCUGGGCCUGCACUGACGCUCACGCACGAAAGCGUGGGGAGCAAAC
rnacentral:rRNA from 1 species